UAACAUCGUCAGUUUUUAUAUGCAUUUAAUAUUUUUAAAAAUAGUUCAAAAGCUGUCAAAAUAAAAUGGUGAAUUGAGUUUAAACCAGAAAAGAUAUAAACGUAAUCUUUGGGAUUCAACUUGUAAGGAUGUUCCAAGAACCACUUAGUUGGAGAAGGAAAACUGUGCCGUUCAUUAACAAGUCCUGUGCUUUAUAAUAUAUUAAAAAAUGGAAGGACGUGAAGAAAACAGGUUUGUAAAUGAUGUUGUACAUCAUGCAGAUAGCUCAGAAGAAGAAGCAGGAAUGUUUGACUGGAAAUAUAAACGAUGUUGUACAUAAUGCAGAUAGCUUAGGCAAAAAAGAGAUUGGUGAAAUGGAGAAUGAGACUAACUAGGGUGAAAAAAAAUGAAUAUUAAUAUGUGAAUGGUACUUUGUUUAACAUCUACCUGUUUCUACAGAUACAGUACAGACGCAUUUAUAAAUGGGCUUGAUGUUUUUUUGAAUUAAAUAUGUUGUAUUGA